GUUUAACUUGAUAACCCCCAAAAUAGAGGCAGAGAUUCUUAGCCAAGGCUUACCUUUGAAAAUAAUUGCACAUGUAUAACAGUGGGUUAUAAGUGUGGUUUGUUGGUUCACAGGCAGAUUCACAGCUUUCCUUUAGUUGUAAAGAGUUCCUUUACAACUCUUAAAGAGUUGUAGACACUGCAAACACUGAAACAGUCAGUUACAAAGGGAGCACUCAGUAUAGGACACUCUGGCUGGUAUCUCUCCUGCAGUUUAGAUGAGCUUGCCAGGUAGCCAAAACCAGCAUUUCUCUAUUCACCAGAGCCUUUUGGAGAGGUGCUGUGUGACAGGGAGGCUGUCGGAGGCAGAAGUGUUUGCAUGGGAUGGAGCCUGCAACUACCGCAACCGUCCCUGUGGCAAGAACACCCACAGAAACAGGUCUCAACUCUGGCCAGAUCCUCGCAGUUUUUUGGAUGGAGUGACUUGAAGUGACACAUUUUGGCAGGAGUCACAUAGCUUUUUAUACUGUUGCCUCUCUCCUUGUUACUUAGGCCUUGAGCUUGAAGGUCUAAAGCACAGGUUCUGGAAAAAAAAAUGCAGACAGCAAGACUUCCAAACACUGGCCCUUUAGAAAGCUCUGAGCUGAACCUGCCAAGUGUGCUGAGUGAAGGACAGAAGGUUAUGAGUCUUACAUCUAGAUAUGUUUUGCUUAAUAUUCACCAUGGGCACACCUACAAGUGGAACAACAACAGUUCUGGAUAGGAGAGAGCUCUGCAAAAGAAGGUUGCAGUGAUAGGGAUGGCCAGCCUGUGCCAUGGGAAUGGUUUCAUGUCUCUCCCAUGCAUCUGUUUCCCUCCAGAGGUUGGGCAUGUCUUGCAUCUACACAAUAAGGGAAGGAAUGUGAGCCCUCCACCACACCUCUAGCUUUCAACAUUUGCUGAGCCUGUUUGUCUAUUUUGGUUUUGGUUUAUUUUUUGUUUUGUUUUGUUUUGUUUUCACCUAUGACUUUUGAGAUUGUAAUCUCAGCAGGGCAGGGACCGCCUUGUGUUCUACAUUUGUACACCGACUGUGCCUGGGAUCUUGAGCUGAUGUGCUAAUAAUGAAUAAGCAUAAUUUUUUGGGGGGAUACUCUUCAAGGGUUCAUCUGGAACUGAUUGGACUGGUGAUAAAAUAGACCAUUUCUUCUGGAAGAAAAGAGUUCAUGAUAGUCACUCGAUUAAAAUGAUUGCUUUCUGCAGAGGGGAGCACGGGUGUUGCACUCAGUAGUGUUCAUCAUGGAUUUGCAUAGACUGAAUAGUACAUCAUGUCCCUCUUUCUCCUAAAUUUAGGGGAAUGGCAGCUUCCAUCUAAAUGUCUUUGAAGAAAUUAAUGACACAGAGUUUUCUUGCUGACCUGCAGCAAAGGUGUGCUCUUGAUGUGUGCCUGUUUUUCAAUUUGCCUACCUGUAGAAAUUCCAAAUGCAGUAGCUUCGUGUAGUUAUUUUGUGU
rnacentral:lncRNA from 1 species